GUUCAUGCGUGGAACAUGGAUGGAGGAUGGACAACUUACACACUAUGCAAGAGAUGCUUCCCUCAAGGUUUUGGCAACAAUGUUCAGAAGAAGCCCAGGAAUAUUUGGAAACAGUUUGUUCCCCACAAGAACACCGAGGCCAUGUCCAUCAGUAACCAGCCUGAUGUGACUAAAGUGGAGUCUGAACUCAUGACCCUUGUGGAGAGUAUGUGGCAAAAGAUACUUCUGGAGAAGAAUUCCAUACUGGAGGAGACCUACAAGAUGAACUUAUCAGCCAAACAGAAUUACAAACAGGCAUAUGUUGCCAUGAGUGACAUCAGCCCUUUGUGGGAGGAGACGGCACGCAAUGCCUGGCAAAGUAUUA
rnacentral:lncRNA from 1 species